rnacentral:rRNA from 1 species
CACCGCGGUUAUACGAGAGACCCAAGUUGAUAAGCAUCGGCGUAAAGAGUGGUUAGGAACAACCCCACAAACUAAAGCCAAAUGCCCCCAAAGCUGUUAUACGCACCCGGUAGGCCAGAAACUCAACUACGAAAGUGGCUUUACACUGCCUGAACCCACGAAAGCUAUGAUA